CACUGCUGGAUGUUCCGCCAGGGCAUUCUCCACCUCUGUUGGCCCGAUUCGGUACCUGGAGGUAUGGAUAAUAUCG